UUUAAUUAUUUAUAUUUUUUUAAGUUUUUAUUUUAAUUCCAGUACAGUUAACAUACAAUGUUAUAUUAGUUUCAGGUGUACAACAUAUUGAUCCAACAAUCCUAUAUAUUACUCGGUGCUCACCAUAAUAAGU